CUGCUACAAUGACAGUAAGUUUUGGACAUUCAUGGACCAGCUCUAGCUUUAGUUCUUGAGAAGCUGAAACCAUAUGGAGGCCUUCAAGAAUCAUUUGAGUCUGCUAAGGCAGUUUCAGUGGGUGUAUCAAAAAGUGUUCAAAAGGCUGGGAAAUCAACUGCUAAUGGUGUUCCAAAACACGAAAAUAAAGCUGCAUCUUGGCGGGCUGUUGCAACAAAGGGUGCUAGGUCUGAGCCUAUAUCU